rnacentral:rRNA from 1 species
AUACGGAGGGUGCGAGCGUUAAUCGGAAUUACUGGGCGUAAAGCGUACGUAGGCGGUUGGUUAAGUUAGAUGUGAAGGCCCCGGGCUUAACCUGGGAACUGCAUUUAAAACUGGUGAACUAGAGUUGAGUAGAGGGGAGUGGAAUUUCAGGUGUAGCGGUGAAAUGCGUAGAGAUCUGAAGGAACACCAGUGGCGAAGGCGACUCCCUGGACUCGAACUGACGCUGAGGUACGAAAGCGUGGGUAGCAAACGGGAUUAGAAACCCCGGUAGUCC